CAAAACACGAAAAACAAUUCAUUGCGGGUUUUGAAGACCCGUAGUUUAAUAACUUAGUGUCUU
rnacentral:tRNA from 2 species